ACUGAACGCUGGCGGCAUGCCUUACACAUGCAAGUCGAACGGCAGCACGGGUGCUUGCACCUGGUGGCGAGUGGCGAACGGGUGAGUAAUACAUCGGAACGUACCUUAUCGUGGGGGAUAACGCAGCGAAAGCUGUGCUAAUACCGCAUACGCCCUGAGGGGGAAAGCGGGGGAUCGAAAGACCUCGCGCGAUUAGAGCGGGCGAUGCCUGAUUAGCUUGUUGGGGGGGUAAAAGCCCACCAAGGCGACGAGCAGUAGCUGGUCUGAGAGGACCAUCAGCCACACUGGGACUGAGAAACGGCCCAGACUCCUACGGGAGGCAGCAGUGGGGAAUUUUGGACAAUGGGGGCAACCCUGAUCCAGCAAUGCCGCAUGAGUGAAGAAGGCCUUCGGGUUGUAAAGCUCUUUUGUCAGGGAAGAAACACCGGCUCUAACACAGUCCGGGAAUGACGGUACCUGAAGAAUAAGCACCGGCUAACUACGUGCCAGCAGCCGCCGUAA
rnacentral:rRNA from 1 species